AUACGGAGGAUCCGAGCGUUAUCCGGAUUUAUUGGGUUUAAAGGGAGCGUAGGUGGAUUGUUAAGUCAGUUGUGAAAGUUUGCGGCUCAACCGUAAAAUUGCAGUUGAAACUGGCAGUCUUGAGUACGGUAGAGGUGGGCGGAAUUCGUGGUGUAGCGGUGAAGUGCUUAGAUAUCACGAAGAACUCCGAUUGCGAAGGCAGCUCACUGGACUGCAACUGACACUGAGGCUCGAAAGUGUGGGUAUCAAACAGGAUUAGAUACCCUGGUAGUCCACACAGUAAACGAUGAAUACUCGCUGUUUGCGAUAUACAGCAAGCGGCCAAGCGAAAGCAUUAAGUAUUCCACCUGGGGAGUACGCCGGCAACGGUGAAACUCAAAUGAAUUGACGGGG
rnacentral:rRNA from 1 species